rfam:Meleagrid herpesvirus 1 strain FC126, complete genome.
GCACGGACUCAUUCAGCGGGCAAUGUAGACUGUGUACCAAGUGACAGCUACAUUGCCCGCUGGGUUUCUGGCUGUCUGG